UACGGAGGAUCCAAGCGUUAUCCGGAUUUAUUGGGUUUAAAGGGUGCGUAGGCGGAUCGUUAAGUCAGUGGUCAAAUUGAGGGGCUCAACCCCUUCCCGCCAUUGAAACUGGCGAUCUUGAGUGGAAGAGAAGUAUGCGGAAUGCGUGGUGUAGCGGUGAAAUGCAUAGAUAUCACGCAGAACCCCGAUUGCGAAGGCAGCAUGCCGGCUUCCGACUGACGCUGAAGCACGAAAGCGUGGGGAUCGAACAGG
rnacentral:rRNA from 1 species